AAAACCCAGUAGCUAAGAUUUCUCCUCCUUUCUCGAAGAAGCAGCAGCUGGAGCAGUCGACACCCAACUCUUAUUAUAUCAAUGACUGAGUCACAGUCCGCUACCAUGACUUACCAAGAACGCGUAUCAGAUGGGCUGCAGGACACAGGAUACGGGCCGCUCUCUUUCACUGGGCUCCGUGCAUCAACUGAGAGCAGAGGGAAGGUGCCCAUUACAUGAAAAUGCAUUUAACAUGCAGGAGGCGUCUGUUACCUGUCCAUCAGGUUUGCAGCAUAAAGCCAACAUGAAAUGAAACUUUGAAUGGCACGCAAAGGAUUGUAAGUGUUUCCACAGGCAAAACUAUGAAUCCAGAUGGCGUGCUGGAUCAACCCGAGCCGAUGAAAAAUAACCGUGGAGGGCCGAAAAGGCUGGAAAAAAAGAAUGUAUGAAGGUGGUGAUAGAAUAAGAAUUUCACACCUACAGUACCUACCACACAUGGCUUUCACACAUCGGAUGGGGCUUGGAGAGAAAGCCCAGAUGAACACAAAUGUAAAUUGUACAUGACAUUAGCUAAUGUUAUUGUCUUAUGCUUUUCACUGUAAUAUCUGUAUCUUCCUGUUUCAUAAUAAACAUUCAACUAUGCAUCCAAACAAAGAA